AGAGUUUGAUCCUGGCUCAGGAUCAACGCUGGCGGCGUGCCUAAUGCAUGCAAGUCGAACGCAGCCUUCGGGCUGAGUGGCGAACGGGUGCGGAACACGUGGAUAACCGAUCCUAAAGUGGGGAAUAACCUGCCGAAAGGUGGGCUAAUACCGCAUAUGUUCUCUCUUUUGACGUAUUGAGGGAAGAAAGCUUUAUGCGCUUUUGGACGGGUCUGCGGCCGAUUAGCUAGUUGGUGGGGUAACGGCCUACCAAGGCGACGAUCGGUAGCUGGUCUGAGAGGACGGCCAGCCACACGGGGACUGUGACACGGCCCCGACUCCUACGGGAGGCAGCAGCAAGGAAUAUUGGGCAAUGGGCGCAAGCCUGACCCAGCGACGCCGCGUGAGGGAAGACGGCCUUCGGGUUGUAAACCUCUUUUCUCACUGACGAAGAUGACGGUAGGUGAGGAAUAAGCCCCGGCUAACUACGUGCCAGCAGCCGCGGUAAUACGUAGGGGGCGAGCGUUGUCCGGAAUUACUGGGCGUAAAGCGCGCGUAGGUGGCUUGUUAAGACCGAUGUGAAAUCUCCGCGCUUACCGUGGAGAGGUCGUUGGUGACUGGCAGGCUUGGGUUUGGCAGAGGUGAGUGGAAUUCCGGGUGGAGCGGUGAAAUGCGUAGAGAUCCGGAGGAACACCAGUGGCGAAGGCGGCUCACUGGGCCAACACCGACGCUGAGGCGCGAAAGCGUGGGGAGCGAACCGGAUUAGAUACCCGGGUAGUCCACGCCCUAAACGAUGGGUACUAGGCGUGCGGGGUAUCGACCCCCUGCGUGCCGAAGCUAACGUGAGAAGUACCCCGCCUGGGGAGUACGGCCGCAAGGUUGAAACUCAAAGGAAUUGACGGGGGCCCGCACAAGCAGCGGAGCGUGUGGUUUAAUUCGACGCAACGCGAAGAACCUUACCAGGGUUUGACAUGGCACUUACAGUAGUCGAAAGGCUAUGGCCGCAAGGCGUGUGUCACAGAUGCUGCAUGGCUGUCGUCAGCUCGUGCCGUGAGGUGUCGGGUUAAGUCCCGUAACGAGCGCAACCCCUGUCGCUAGUUGAAUGUCUAGCGAGACUGCCGCGUAAGUUGGAGGAAGGCGGGGAUGACGUCAAGUCAGCACGGCUCUUACAUCCUGGGCUACACACACGCUACAAUGGACCUGACAGAGGGCUGCGAAGCCGCGAGGUGGAGCUAAUCCCAGAAACAGGUCCUCAGUUGGGAUUGCAGGCUGCAACUCGCCUGCAUGAACGUGGAGUUGCUAGUAAACGCCGGUCAGCACUACGGCGUUGAAUACGUUCCCGGGCCUUGUACACACCGCCCGUCACGUCAUGAAAGUUGGGAACACCUGAAGUCGCUGGGCCAACCCGCAAGGGAGGCAGGUGCCGAGGGUGGGCUCGAUGAUUGGGACGAAGUCGUAACAAGGUA
rnacentral:rRNA from 1 species